rnacentral:rRNA from 1 species
UGGGGAAUAUUGGACAAUGGGCGAAAGCCUGAUCCAGCCAUGCCGCUUGUGUGAAGAAGGUCUUCGGAUUGUAAAGCACUUUAAGUUGGGAGGAAGGGCAGUAAGCGAAUACCUUGCUGUUUUGACGUUACCGACAGAAUAAGCACCGGCUAACUCUGUGCCAGCAGCCGCGGUAAUACAGAGGGUGCAAGCGUUAAUCGGAAUUACUGGGCGUAAAGCGCGCGUAGGUGGUUCGUUAAGUUGAAUGUGAAAGCCCCGGGCUCAACCUGGGAACUGCAUCAAAAACUGGCGAGCUAGAGUAGGGCAGAGGGUGGUGGAAUUUCCUGUGUAGCGGUGAAAUGCGUAGAUAUAGGAAGGAACACCAGUGGCGAAGGCGACCACCUGGGCUCAUACUGACACUGAGGUGCGAAAGCGUGGGGAGCAAACAGG